rnacentral:rRNA from 1 species
GAGUUUGAUCAUGGCUCAGAUUGAACGCUGGCGGCGUGCUUAACACAUGCAAGUCGAACGAACCUUCGGGUUAGUGGCGGACGGGUGAGUAACGCGUGAGAAUCUGCCCUCAGGAGGGGGACAACAGCUGGAAACGGCUGCUAAUACCCCAUAUGCCGCGAGGUGAAAUGAAUUUCGCCUGAGGAUGAGCUCGCGUCUGAUUAGCUAGUUGGUGUAGGUAAUGGCUCACCAAGGCAUCGAUCAGUAGCUGGUCUGAGAGGAUGAUCAGCCACACUGGGACUGAGACACGGCCCAGACUUCUACGGGAGGCAGCAGUGGGGAAUUUUCCGCAAUGGGCGAAAGCCUGACGGAGCAACGCCGCGUGAGGGAUGAAGGCCUCUGGGCUGUAAACCUCUUUUAUCAAGGAAGAAGAUCUGACGGUACUUGAUGAAUAAGCCACGGCUAAUUCCGUGCCAGCAGCCGCGGUAAUACGGGAGUGGCAAGCGUUAUCCGGAAUUAUUGGGCGUAAAGCGUCCGCAGGCGGCCCUUCAAGUCUGCUGUUAAAAAGUGGAGCUUAACUCCAUCAUGGCAGUGGAAACUGUUGGGCUUGAGUGUGGUAGGGGCAGAGGGAAUUCCCGGUGUAGCGGUGAAAUGCGUAGAUAUCGGGAAGAACACCAGUGGCGAAGGCGCUCUGCUGGGCCAUCACUGACGCUCAUGGACGAAAGCCAGGGGAGCGAAAGGGAUUAGAUACCCCUGUAGUCCUGGCCGUAAACGAUGAACACUAGGUGUCGGGGGAAUCGACCCCCUCGGUGUCGUAGCCAACGCGUUAAGUGUUCCGCCUGGGGAGUACGCACGCAAGUGUGAAACUCAAAGGAAUUGACGGGGGCCCGCACAAGCGGUGGAGUAUGUGGUUUAAUUCGAUGCAACGCGAAGAACCUUACCAGGGUUUGACAUCCUGCGAAUCUCUUGGAAACAGGAGAGUGCCUUCGGGAACGCAGUGACAGGUGGUGCAUGGCUGUCGUCAGCUCGUGUCGUGAGAUGUUGGGUUAAGUCCCGCAACGAGCGCAACCCACGUCUUUAGUUGCCAGCAUUCAGUUGGGCACUCUAGAGAGACCGCCGGUGAUAAACCGGAGGAAGGUGUGGAUGACGUCAAGUCAUCAUGCCCCUUACAUCCUGGGCUACACACGUACUACAAUGCUACGGACAAAGAGCAGCAAGUUCGCGAGGACAAGCAAAUCUCAUAAACCGUGGCUCAGUUCAGAUCGUAGGCUGCAACUCGCCUACGUGAAGGCGGAAUCGCUAGUAAUCGCAGGUCAGCAUACUGCGGUGAAUACGU